AAGUGACAACAGUUGUGAAAAUCAGCCCAACAUUUGUCAAGAGAAGAACAAGGCUAGAAUACAGCACUACAGACUGUGAUUCUUACUGGUGAAUCAUUAAUAGCUGCAAGCAUGUAGGCGUUGGGCUCACAGUGAAAGAAUCAGGCAUGUAUGCCUUAUUGUAAUAAUAAUAAUUAGGCUAUUUAUUAUUAUUAUUAUUAUUAUUAUCAUUAUCAUAUGUAGCCAUUUUGCUACAAUUAUGCUUGACACAACGGCAGUGUUUGCGACCUGACCUUUCUUUUCUCAGUGAGAGGGAAGAAUUUAGAAAGUGCGUAGCGCUGCAGAGACCCCCCAGCUGUAGGAGUGCAUGGAUUAUGCUUAAUAUUCAUCCAGCCAGAGGGAACGAUCACGGACCGUUCAUAGUGCUUAGCGACACAACCCAAACUGGAGAGGGAGAGUGGCGGUGGAGCGUACAGGACCAGGAGAUAGAGGAGCGACCGGCCCGCUGCGGACGGUGUCUGCUGCUUUAGGAUACCCUUCAUAAUUCACCAAAUGUAGUGGAACCUCUAUACAUGUUGUGGUGGCAGCCCGGCUGACGGUACACUCACCCUCGUCCUCCGUUCGGCUGGGCUCAUCCACUGGCCCAUUCCUCUUCAGACUUCCCUCUCGGCGUCCUCCCUGUUCCCCUGCCUCUCCUCGCUUCCUUGGCCCCUGUGUUCCCCGGCUCCCUGGCCCCUAUCUCCUUGGUUCCCCGUGCCAGUACUUCCCCGACGUCCUCCUCUCCCUCCCCUCCAGUCCCUCUCACCCUU